rnacentral:rRNA from 1 species
GUGGCAGCCGCCGCGGUAACACCGGCGGCCCGAGUGGUAACCGAUUUUAUUGGGUUUAAAGGGUCCGUAGCCGGCCUAUUAAGUCUCUUGGGAAAUCUGGCGGCUUAAUCGUCAGACGUUCAAGAGAUACUGAUGGGCUUGGGACCGGUGGGGGUGGGAGGUACUCCAGGGGUAGAGUGGAAAUUUUGUAAUUCUUGAGGGACCAUCGAGGGCGAAGGGAUCCCACUAGAACGGGUCCGACGGUGAGGGGCGAAAGGUGGGGGCACGAACCGGAUUAAAUACCCGGGUAGCCCCGGCGGUA